UACGUAGGGGGCAAGCGUUGUCCGGAAUCAUUGGGCGUAAAGCGCGUGUAGGCGGUCCGGUAAGUCGGUUGUGAAAGUCCAGGGCUCAACCCUGGGAUGCCGACCGAUACUGUCGGACUAGAGUUCGGAAGAGGCGAGUGGAAUUCCCGGUGUAGCGGUGAAAUGCGUAGAGAUCGGGAGGAACACCAGAGGCGAAGGCGGCGACCUGGACAGGCACUAGACACUCAACUACGGAAAGCGAUGGG
rnacentral:rRNA from 1 species